CCUACGGGAGGCAGCAGUGAGGAAUAUUGGUCAAUGGGCGCGAGCCUGAACCAGCCAAGUAGCGUGAAGGAUGACUGCCCUAUGGGUUGUAAACUUCUUUUAUAAGGGAAUAAAGUGCAGUAUGUAUACCGCUUUGUAUGUACUAUAUGAAUAAGGAUCGGCUAACUCCGUGCCAGCAGCCGCGGUAAUACGGAGGAUCCGAGCGUUAUCCGGAUUUAUUGGGUUUAAAGGGAGCGUAGGUGGAUUGUUAAGUCAGUUGUGAAAGUUUGCGGCUCAACCGUAAAAUUGCAGUUGAUACUGGCAGUCUUGAGUACAGUAGAGGUAGGCGGAAUUCGUGGUGUAGCGGUGAAAUGCUUAGAUAUCACGAAGAACUCCGAUUGCGAAGGCAGCUUACUGGACUGCAACUGACACUGAGGCUCGAAAGUGUGGGUAUCAAACAGGAUUAGAUACCCUUGUAGUC
rnacentral:rRNA from 1 species